rnacentral:rRNA from 1 species
GAUGAACGCUGGCGGAAUGCUUUACACAUGCAAGUCGAACGGCAGCACGGGGCAACCUGGUGGCGAGUGGCGAACGGGUGAGUAGUACAUCGGAACGUGCCCAAUCGUGGGGGAUAACGUAGCGAAAGUUACGCUAAUACCGCAUACGAUCUACGGAUGAAAGCGGGGGAUCGCAAGACCUCGCGCGAAUGGAGCGGCCGAUGUCAGAGUAGGGAGUUGGUGGGGUAAAGGCUCACCAAGCCAACGAUCUGUAGCUGGUCUGAGAGGACGACCAGCCACACUGGGCCUGAGACACGGCCCAGACUCCUACGGGAGGCAGCAGUGGGGAAUUUUGGACAAUGGGCGCAAGCCUGAUCCAGCCAUUCCGCGUGCAGGAUGAAGGCCUUCGGGUUGUAAACUGCUUUUGUACGGAACGAAACGGCUCUCUAAUACAGGGGGCUAAUGACGGUACCGUAAGAAUAAGCACCGGCUAACUACGUGCCAGCAGCCGCCGUAAAAC